rnacentral:miRNA from 1 species
CACGCAACGUUUGUUUGCCACCACAGUAACCUAACUAAAUGUAUUAUAUUUUUUGUAUUUUUAUAAUUGAUGAUAAAAUACACAAAUAUUUAUUGUUUUUAUUAUAAAUCACAAAAAUACAACAAAUAUAAUGUACUUAGUUAGGUUGCUGUGGUGGCGAACAAACGUUUCGUG